rnacentral:rRNA from 1 species
UACGUAGGGUGCGAGCGUUGUCCGGAAUUAUUGGGCGUAAAGGGCUCGUAGGCGGUUUGGCGCGUCGGGAGUGAAAACCUCGGGCUUAACUCGGGGCUUGCUUUCGAUACGGGCAGACUGGAGGUAUGCAGGGGAGAACGGAAUUCCUGGUGUAGCGGUGAAAUGCGCAGAUAUCAGGAGGAACACCGGUGGCGAAGGCGGUUCUCUGGGCAUGACCUGACGCUGAGGAGCGAAAGUGUGGGGAGCGAACAGG